rnacentral:rRNA from 1 species
UACGAAGGGGGCUAGCGUUGCUCGGAAUCACUGGGCGUAAAGGGUGCGUAGGCGGGUCUUUAAGUCAGGGGUGAAAUCCUGGAGCUCAACUCCAGAACUGCCUUUGAUACUGAAGAUCUUGAGUCCGGGAGAGGUGAGUGGAACUGCGAGUGUAGAGGUGAAAUUCGUAGAUAUUCGCAAGAACACCAGUGGCGAAGGCGGCUCACUGGCCCGAUACUGACGCUGAGGCACGAAAGCGUGGGGAGCAAACAGG